rnacentral:rRNA from 1 species
CGGAGAGGGCGCCUGAGACCAUGUUCCAGGUCCUACGGGACGCAGCAGGCGCGAAAACUCCACAAUGCACGAAAGUGCGAUGGGGUUAUCCCGAGUGCCGUCUGAUGAAGAUGGCUUUUCACUGGUGUAAUGAGCCAGUGGAAUAAGGGGAGGGCAAGACUGGUGUCAGCCGCCGCGGUAAUACCAGCUCCCCGAGUGGUGUGGACGAUUAUUGGGCCUAAAGCGUUCGUAGCCGGCUUAACAAGUCUUCCGUUAAAUCUGGCGACCCAAUCGUCAGGCUGCGGGGGAUACUGUUAGGCUAGGGGGCGGGAGAGGUCGACGGUAUUCUCAGGGUAGGGGUGAAAUCCUAAGAUCCUGAGAGGACCACCAGUGGCGAAGGCGGUCGACCAGAACGCGCCCGACGGUGAGGGACGAAAGCUGGGGUAGCGAACCGGAUUAGAUACCCGGGUAGUCCCAGCCGUAAACUAUGCAGGCUAGGUGUUGGAGCGGCUA